CAGCCGCCGCGGGAAUACGGAGGGUGCAAGCGUUAAUCGGAAUUACUGGGCGUAAAGCGCACGCAGGCGGUCUGACAAGUCAGAUGUGAAAUCCCCGGGCUUAACCUGGGAACUGCAUUUGAAACUGUCAGGCUGGAGUCUUGUAGAGGGGGGUGGAAUUCCAGGUGUAGCGGUGAAAUGCGUAGAGAUCUGGAGGAAUACCGGUGGCGAAGGCGGCCCCCUGGACAAAGACUGACGCUCAGGUGCGAAAGCGUGGGGAGCAAACAGGAUUAGAUACCCCUGUAGUCCCUGUCUCUUAUAC
rnacentral:rRNA from 1 species